rnacentral:rRNA from 1 species
ACUUUUGUGACUGAGCGGCGGACGGGUGAGUAACACGUAUCCAACCUGCCCUUUACUCGGGGAUAGCCUUUCGAAAGAAAGAUUAAUACCCGAUAGCAUAAUGAUUCCGCACGGUUUCAUUAUUAAAGGAUUCCGGUAAAGGAUGGGGAUGCGUUCCAUUAGGUUGUUGGUGAGGUAACGGCUCACCAAGCCUUCGAUGGAUAGGGGUUCUGAGAGGAAGGUCCCCCACAUUGGAACUGAGACACGGUCCAA